GGAGACGUAGCCGAGUCAUGCCAGGCCGGCGCCGCUUGGGACUCUGGCUGGCUUUUUUGCCCUUUCCUGCUCCAUUGCUCAAAGCGUAGGCGCGUUCAGAAUGAAGGACUAAAAACAAAGUGGGGUAGAAGAGACUUCAAGUGGCAUUAAAGUUUCGAAGAUUAUAUUCAAUGAAACAUGGGUACAAAUAAGAAACAGUAAGUUAAUUUCCCUCUAAAGAAUUCUAAAUUUGAAAUGAACUUAUCAUCUGCCUUUGAAGAUGACUUGCAAAGGAAUGUACAACACAGGACAUGAACUUUAUUAACCAGUAUUGCACAAGUGUAAACUCUGACACCCCACCAUGAUCCAAAUAUGCAAGGAUACGUACUGUAUUUCUGUUCUUAAGCCAUCCAACUCUGUUCUGGUUAUAAGUACUCUUACAUGAAGACCACUUUUUAGCAGAGCUCCUUUGGAAUCUCGGUCUAAGAGGAGCUCUCAAAGUGUAAAUUGCAACAUAGGCAUCAUCUGAUAUCAGCUACAUUCCUGGCAGCUUGUUCAAUAAUAGCAUGAAGAAGUUACACAAGGCUCUCUGCUAGAAGAUGACUGUUUGUUUGUGUCUGGAUGUGAGGUAAUCAUUACUUGUCAAGGUGGAAAGUUCUGCCAUUGGAAAACCAAUCAUUUAUCUCUAACCCUACACUUAGGAAAAAUUUCUCUGUAAUUAUUUAUAUCUACAUCAAUUUCUACAAAAAUUCUGAUGACUAUGCUCAAUUUAUGGAGUAAUAGAAUUUAUCUGUAAGACUAUGUAGUUAAGUAAUUCAUUAGAGCCCUUUUUGGAUACAACUCUACCUUGUAAGAAACCAUCGAAAGACUAGAUAGUAGCUGUAUCGGGCUUUGUGGACCAUACAUUUUCCAUCUCAAAUACUCAGCUCUGUGCUUGUAACAAAGAACAACUGCAGACAGUGUAUGGGUAACUAAGCCUCCCUGUGUCCUGGUAAAACUACUUACAAAAACAGGCCUAGGAUCUGAUUUGGCCACAGGGUGUCUGAGGCAUAUUCUUUUGAACAAUUUUUGUUUGUUAAAUGAUUGGUGAAACAAAUAUAAGAGCUGGAGGUCCUGUCGUGGCACAGCAGAAACGAAUCUGACUAAGGACCGUGAGGUUGGAGGUUCAAUCCCUGCCCUCGCUCAGCGUGUUAGGGAUCUGGCAUUGCUGUGGUCGUGGCUGUGACUGGCACCUGUAGCUCCAAUUAGACUCCUAGCCUGGGAACAUCCAUAUGCCUCGGGUGUGCUCCUAAAAAGAAAAAAAAAAAAUUUCAAGAGCAUAUGUCAUUCAUUUUACAAACAUUAAUUGAGCACAUUAAUGUCCAAAUACUAUGUUGAGGAUACAGAGGAAAAUAAGAGUCAGUGUCUGCCCUCAAAAAAGAGGCAAGGGAGUUCCUGCAUUGUCACUGCUGUGGCACGGGUUCAAUCCCUAGCUCAGGAACUUCUGCUUUCUGGGGACAUGGCAAAAAAAAAAAAAAAAAAAAAAAAAAAAAA